UAGGGAAUCUUCGGCAAUGGGGGGAACCCUGACCGAGCAACGCCGCGUGAGUGAAGAAGGUUUUCGGAUCGUAAAGCUCUGUUGUUAAGGAAGAACGAGUGUGAGAAUGGAAAGUUCAUACUGUGACGGUACUUAACCAGAAAGGGACGGCUAACUACGUGCCAGCAGCCGCGGUAAUACGUAGGUCCCGAGCGUUGUCCGGAUUUAUUGGGCGUAAAGCGAGCGCAGGCGGUUAGAAAAGUCUGAAGUGAAAGGCAGUGGCUCAACCAUUGUAGGCUUUGGAAACUGUUUAACUUGAGUGCAGAAGGGGAGAGUGGAAUUCCAUGUGUAGCGGUGAAAUGCGUAGAUAUAUGGAAGAACACCAGUGGCGAAGGCGGCUUACUGGACAACAACUGACGUUGAGGCUCGAAAGUGUGGGUAGCAAACAGGAUUAGAUACCCUGGUAGUCCACACCGUNNNGAUGAAUACUAGGUGUUAGGAGGNUUCCGCCUCUUAGUGNCGAAGCUAACGCAUUAAGUAUUCCGCCUGGGGAGUACNANCGCAAGGNUG
rnacentral:rRNA from 1 species